GACGAACGCUGGCGGCGUGCUUAACACAUGCAAGUCGAGCGGUAAGGCCCUUUCGGGGGUACACGAGCGGCGAACGGGUGAGUAACACGUGGGUGACCUGCCCUCAGCUCUGGGAUAAGCCUGGGAAACCGGGUCUAAUACUGGAUAUGACUCCAUGACGCAUGUUGUGGGGUGGAAAGCCUUGUGCGGCUGAGGAUGGGCCCGCGGCCUAUCAGCUUGUUGGUGGGGUGAGGCCUACCAAGGCGACGACGGGUAGCCGGCCUGAGAGGGCGACCGGCCACACUGGGACUGAGACACGGGCCCAGACUCCUACGGGAGGCAGCAGUGGGGAAUCUUGCGCAAUGGGCGAAAGCCUGACGCAGCGACGCCGCGUGAGGGAUGACGGCCUGG
rnacentral:rRNA from 1 species